rnacentral:hammerhead_ribozyme from 1 species
AUCCAGAUGAUGAGUCCCAAAUAGGACGAAACUUCCAUCCUGGAU